AGCUGUGUCACGUGACCACACAGCACAAAACCACAGAUGAGCAGGGAAAAGGGGGCGGAGCAAAGUGUUCGUGUGUACAAGAGAGGAGUCGAGCAGAGAGAGCUGCUUUUACGUGAAACGGGAGUAAAGUAGUGCACUUAGAAGAGAGAAACAAACUAAAGUAUCGAUCAUAUACCACUACCAACGUUUGGAUCGAUAUCUGCAUCGAUCUGCCCACCCUUGUCUCCUGGAUCGUAGCUGAGAUCAGCGUGAACCACGUGGGUCUCUGCUCCCUGAUCUGUUUCCUGUGUUUGGAAAGAGUUCCAGCUUCAUCACGGAGUUUCUCUCGGUUUGUGGGCUCAUCUAAAGCUGAUCAUCAGGAGGAGACGAGCCAUUUAGACUUAGCUCAGCCACUGCAGAGGAAACAAUGACUUCAACCCAAAAGGACCAACAUGGAGCGAGAAGUCAGCGCUCUCAGGAGGCCGACAAACCUCACAGAAGAAAGAGAGAGAAAAAAUACAGCUGUGAUGAGUGUGGGAAGGAUUUCACCAAGGCUGAACACCUGAAAACACACCAACUCAUCCACAGUGGAGUUAAACCGUACAGCUGUGACUUGUGUGGAAAAUCUUUCACCCAACUUGGACACUUAAAAACACACCAACUCAUCCACAGUGGAGUUAAAGCAUACAGCUGUGAUCAGUGUGGUAAAUCUUUUGCUCUCAGUUGCACCUUAAAACGUCAUCUAGUUACCCACUCUGGAAUUAAGGCGUACAGCUGUGACAUUUGUGGAGAAACUUUCAGUCGGCUAGGGAGCCGAAAUAUUCACCAGCGGAUUCACACUGGACAUGAUGUUUGCUGCUGUGUUCAGUGUGGAAAACUGUUUACAACAGAUGCACAGUUACAACGCCACAUGUUUACCCACAAUGAGGAGAGAUUUUAUAAAUGUGACCUGUGUGAGAAGACUUUUAAAUCUCCACUUAACCUCAAAUCACACCAACAGAUCCACACCAGAAAGAAACUCUACAAGUGCAGUUAGUGUGAGAAGCAGAGCGACACAGAUGGAUCCAGUUCUCAGCCCUGUCGUCACUGUGGAGGUGGGAAAGAGUUUAGCUGUGACCUUUGUGGAAAAAUGUUCAGCCAUCAUCGAAGUCUAGAACUACAUCAACGUAGACACACUGGAGACAAAAUGAGCUACUGCAAAGAAUGUGGAAGAGGCUUCCCCACGCCAAGUAUAUUAAAAAUACAUGAACUUAUUCACAGUGGGGUUAAAAAGCACGUCUGUGACCAGUGUGGGUCAUCCUUCACUACUGCAGGUCACCUUAAAAGUCAUAAACGAGUCCACACAGGAGAGAAACCAUAAGUGCAGACACUGUGACAGAAGUUUCUCAGGUCCAGAUAGUCGUAACCUUCAUGAACGUACACGUGUUGAAGGGAACUUCAACUGUGACCAGUGUGACAAGAGCUUCAGGAAUCUCAGUUCAUACUCCAAACACAAACGAUCCCACGCUGUAAAUAAACUGUUUCACUGUUACCAAUGUGCAAAAACAUUCACUUCAUUAUCUGCUCUGUGCAACCAUCAGCGUGAUCAUGAAAUCAUUCCCAUAAAUGGAUCACAAUGAAACUGAAGAGACAGAAAGAUCCUUUUCUGGUUUCAGACUUAAAAACCUUGAGAUCAGGCUCCACAGGCUCCAAGUUUGAAACUGAAGUGGGCUUGGGUUGUAUUUCUGUGGAAUACCAAUUUGAACCACAAGGUGGAGCAGCAAGUCCAUCUAAGCUUCAUUUGAUCAGGCAAAGAACAUAUUUAUACUCACAGUGGUGGCCUGCAGAGGGCAAAGCAUCUUUAGAAAAUUGGGAACUGUUAGACGUUAAAGUUUGCAGAUGACUGCUUUUGUUCAUCAGCUCCAGGACAGUGAGACGAGCGAUGGCCAAGAACUGUUUUUUUUUUUUUUUUUUUUUUCGUUUUUUUUUUUAAUAGCUUGUUUAAUCGUUACAUUUUUGGUUUAGUGUGAUGGCUAUGAUUGAUGUCUGUCUGCAAAAAGGUUGUAAAACUGACAGUGAUAAAGAUAUUAAUGAAAACCUUUAAAACAAAAACAAUUUUAUUCCAGUAGUUAGAUGAAUAAAUUAAAAAACAAUAAAGCUGUGUUCAUCAAACCAGUGAAUCUGAUCGCUGCCUCUAUUGGUAUCUGCAUUUGGGUUCAGCUCUUGUGCCGGCCUGGAAAAAUAACGUUGAAGUCAGACAAUUAUAAAAGAAUAAUAAGAAAGAAAACACUGAAGCAAAUUUACAAAGCACCAACACGCCCUGCUGCAGGACAUGAUGGAUGCACAAAGAAGGGGAAAGUUACCCACCCAUCCAUCCUUCCCUCCCUCCUAUCCCAGCUGUCUUAAGGGAAGAUGAAGGGUACACCCUGGACAGGUCGCCAGUCCGUCACAAAGCUAACACAUCACAGCAAAAGAUUAAUGGUGAAAAUAGACCACACAAACAAUGAAAACCAGGUUAUAAACAUGUAUAUAUUUUAUAUGACUUGUUAAACUGAAAAACCAGAUAAACAGAUUUGUUAACUAUCUACAGCAGCGGUCCCCAGUCUUUUGCGCCACGGACUGGUUUAGUGUUAGACAAUAUUUUCAUGGACUGGCUUUUAAGGUGGAUAAAUACAACAAAAUAAAAUGAUACGACCAAGACAAACUGUGGAAUUUUGUAAAUAAAAUAAUAAAUGUGAAUUCACUGUGUAACUGUCUAACUUUAUUAGCAGCGUCCUCCGGAAAUGCGCCCACAAGAUUGAGAGCAACAUCCUCCUCUCUGCCCCUUAAUGCUCUCUGGUCACUAUGGUAACAUGUAGAUGUUUCUUUCAAAAUAAGACACACAACUACAACAUGGGAAAAAGACCCAGGGAAAGAGAGUUAAUGAAAACCAUAAAUUUCACGCCCAAGCCUCAACUCUCGCGGCCCGGUACCAAACAACUCAUGGACUGGUACCCAUCCAUGGCCCGGGGGUUGGGGACCGCUGAAAAUGGUUUAACAUUCAACAUUGCAUACAAGACUUACAGGCAAACACAGAAGCUAAUUUCAGUGUGUUUUUCUUUUUAAGUUUAAAAUAUAUAUUAAGUGGUAAGACAAUGAAUUUUACUUCUGACUGUCCAUGUUAUGUAGCAGUAUCCAUUUUAUCAUGCAUGUAUGCUACUUUUCUCUGCUGACUGUAAAUGUUUUUCUUUUGUAUUCAUGAAAUAAACUAGACUUUCACAGUCUGCAUUUUUUACUGUUUCUGCUUUUGUUCACUCCAAGUUGGACAAAAACCCACAGACAGGCAGAGUAAACUAACAAUGUGGAGCAAUCACAGACUGUGUAUUAAAUGGAAAAUGGCCUGUAUUUGUAUAGCGCUUUACUUAGUCCCUAAGGACCCCAAAGUGCUUUACACUACAUACAGUCCACCCAUUCACAAACACAUUCACACACUGGUGAUGGGAAGCUACAUUGUAGCCACAGCUGCCCUGGGGCGCACUGACACUGAUUAGUACCUUGUUUUUCAUAAACACAAACAGGUGACUGAGAGAAAUGUCUUUGUUAUCC